rnacentral:pre_miRNA from 1 species
UUAACUCAAAUUUGUAUGGAGUUGGAAUGUUUGCCUACGUUUGCCGCUAGGGGCGCUGUUCCAACUCCAUACAAAUUUGUGUUA